CAAUUUCGUUCACCUGAUUCUUGUCGUUGAAGUGAACUUUGGAGUCGACCUUGUUUGUUCGGUCUCUGUUCUGAAGUCGAAAUAGAAUGCAAAUCAUUCGACGCAUCUAUAGCUGUAAAUCUCUCUGAAUAUUGGUGUUAAGUUACUCUGAAUACUGCUCAGCGGAUUAGAUCGAUUUCGGUUUGGUUGCUCAGUUUAGCUCGAUUUUCCUGGAACAUCACUGCGAAUCCAUUCGUGUUUUUACAUCUCAACCUUUCUAGUGAAUUCAUUCUGAUUUUUCUGUGCAUAAGAUAAAGGAGUAAUUUUUGCUACAGUUCGAACAUGAUAUGUCUAAUUCACCUCUUUGCCGUAGGUCUUCUAAUCAUACAAGAGCAAUUCAGCUUGUGUUUAUGUUAUGCGACAUUCGAAUUGCACCAUGGCAUGGCAUGUCUGUUUUCCACGUAUUGGUGACAUGCAGCAAUUAAGAACGAGUAUCCUAAGCUAAAUUCGUCAAUAAUCGCUAUUGGAACACUAGAUUGUCAUAAAUCUAGGAAAUGCUUUUGUCCUGACAUUCUGCAUCCACCAACGUAUGGUUAACACGAUGGCCUGUUGUUUUCAUGUUCUUUCUCCGAACUAUUCUCAUUUUUUUUUCGGUUUGCAGUUAUUUCUCAGGGAAAAAGCUACAGGAUGCAGGAAUCCACACUUGCAAUAAUGUGAAAAAGCUACGAGAUUCGGGAUCCACCACUUGCAGUAAAGCUAUUGCAACUUGUGGAUGCCAGAGUCUCUUAGCUUUUGCACCUCUCCAGCAUUUAUUCCCCGAGAAAUGCUUGAUGAUGCAUACAAAGUUUAUCUGAAGCAAAAGUUGACAAGAUAUGCGAAGCAGCUGAAAAGAUAGUGGUUAGAGCUUAAAUUACUUGUUAUUCUGAGAUGGUGGCUGCAAUCAAUUGGAACUUCUAUACGCAUCUCACGUUAACUUCCCUUUGUUUUCAUCAGAAUUUUGGUUAUAUUACUGGAAGUGACGCUCUGCUCGGAGUAUGUUCUUAAUUUUACAAACUAAAUUGGUUCGGAAGACCUGAAUGAGUCAUUGACCCUUGAAAUAAAGCCUGCAAAUUAGCAUUUGGACUGCAGAAAGCUGCACUUGCUCUAAACACUAUUGACCUCACAGCACAAAGUACUUUUAAUGUCUUCAUUUCCAGAGAAAGUCGGUUGUUCGCAUCACAACUGGAAGCCAAGCCCUUGAUGAGCUUUUUAGGCGGUAAUAGACUUUGUUUUGCAGAUUGUGUAUAUUAUUCUUCAUGCGUUUCAACAAACACAACUUUUCCUGGUCUGGAAAUGUUAAUCAGGUGGUAUUGAAACUCAGGCAAUCAUAGAAGCAUUUGGCGAAUUUCGGUGAAAAGCACAGCCCAACAACGUUGGCUUUGACGAACUUUUACUUGCUUUUGUUAGUUGGUUAUCUCAGAAAAUGCUGCUAACGUCACUUCAGGUCUGGGAAAACACGGCUUGCACAUACCCUUUGUGUUUCUACUCAGGUUGGUCUGAAUUUCAUAUUAGGUUUCCGUCCUUCACUUCUGUUGCGUUUUAUGUUUCCUAGAUUAACAACGCAAAUAUGAACAUAGUGAUUGAAUUUCUAGUAAAGAAUACAGCCAUGGGUGAUCUUGGCAUCAGAACGUGCGGAUUAGGUGAUUCCGGAAGGAUGGCACUGUCAUUUUCUGUAAUCUGCAGCCAGUAUACUGGAAUGCAUAAUAAGCAGUGGUUCAAACCAAGUAGAAAAAAGCCAGGAGAGCGUACUAGGUCAUAACCAAUCAGAAGCCUUAAUCAUUGUUAGACUUGGACUUGGGUUGAUCAUCAGUUGAAUGUGAUGCUUGAAGUACUCUACUUUAUAUGCAAAUCCUACAACAUUAUUUUCCCCUCUUUCCGUCACUCAUUAUUAAAGGUAAUCCUGUUCCAUAAGAUGAUGAUUUAUGGUUUGUGGAUUCCAUUAUCCUAACAAUUUUUCCAACUGCCAACUCACAUGAGAGGGGGGAAUGACAAGGUAGCUUACAUCGACACGGACGGAACUUUGUAUCCUAUUAUAAUCUGUCAGUCAUUUUCUUGACCUCAGCAAAGCUGCUUUUGUUUCAUACUCGGCUUACGUCCAUGUAAGUGCAUAUGCACUUCUUAACUUGGUACACAUGCAGUCGCCUUGAUCGAAUUGUACCAAUAGCCGAAAGAUUUGGCAUGGAUCCUGGUGCCGUCCUAGAUAAUGUAAGCAAUGCUUUCUACACUGGUGGCAAUUCUUCCUUCUUUUCUGGCUAAUCUACUUGCUGUAAUCUAGUCUUUCCAUGAAUUUGAAGAUCAUUUAUGCCCGUGCCUAUACUUAUGAGCAUCAGCACAACUUGCUUCUUGGUUUGGCUGCCAAAAUGUCUGAAGAACCAAUUAGGUUUCUGACUGUGGAUCCAGUGAUCGCGCUCUUUCGAGUGGAUUUUACUGGCAGGGGAGAAUUUUCAGAGCGUUAGCAAAAAUUGGCACAAAUGCUCUCAUGCUUACUUAAGAUAGCUUAGGAAUUUAACUUGGCAGUGUACAUGACCAAUCAAGGUGCCGCAUCGCACCUCCUUUCUCCCACAUAGUCAUGCAUCCACUAAAAGUUCUUAUCCAAUUUAGCCCUUUGAUGGUUGCACUCUG